rnacentral:lncRNA from 1 species
GAUAAGUGGGAUUAACAUUGAAUUUGGUACCGAAUAGUGACAUUGAAUUUGGUACCGACUAGUGGCAUAGAGAAACCAAACUGGUCCCACGGGACUUAGCUUGACCGCGGGCGAUAACAUACAGGAUCGGGUGUGGAUUUUAACACAGUAGAUAGUGAGCGCAUCAAACGAACAAAUGGUUCCAACUGCAAACACAAUGAUGACCUCAUCUGCUGCAUUUUCAAUUUGCAGAAGCAUUUCUCCGUCUUCUUCCUCUCCCACCACUUCACCUACUGGCGUUCGACCUCGGUUCUUUCGGUUCCCAAACCAUACUACCUCCAUUGCUUCUCCUUUACUUUUUGCUGCCAUUUAUUCCCCUAUUUUGACAAAGCUUCCGACAACGAGAAAGCUACGCUCUUUUGUUGCAGCAGCCGAAGACGAAACCCUGGUUUCCAGAGGCUGAACAGCAAGCAGAUAAGCAGCGUCCUACUCCUCCGCGCCAGCAGCCCACCACCGAUCAGACUGUCUCUGUUACCGUCUCGCCUUCUGAUAUCCUUACCAUGUUCUUUCAGG